UCUUCCCUCUUUCUUCGUGCCUAAUACAUGCAAGUCGAGCGAACAGACGAGGAGCUUGCUCCUCUGACGUUAGCGGCGGACGGGCGAGUAACACGUGGAUAACCUACCUAUAAGACUGGGAUAACUUCGGGAAACCGGAGCUAAUACCGGAUAAUAUAUUGAACCGCAUGGUUCAAUAGUGAAAGACGGUUUUGCUGUCACUUAUAGAUGGAUCCGCGCCGCAUUAGCUAGUUGGUAAGGUAACGGCUUACCAAGGCAACGAUGCGUAGCCGACCUGAGAGGGUGAUCGGCCACACUGGAACUGAGACACGGUCCAGACUCCUACGGGAGGCAGCAGUAGGGAAUCUUCCGCAAUGGGCGAAAGCCUGACGGAGCAACGCCGCGUGAGUGAUGAAGGUCUUCGGAUCGUAAAACUCUGUUAUUGGGGAAGAACAAAUGUGUAAGUAACUAUGCACGUCUUGACGGUACCUAAUCAGAAAGCCACGGCUAACUACGUG
rnacentral:rRNA from 1 species